GUAGUCAUAUGCUUGUCUCAAAGAUUAAGCCAUGCAUGUCUAAGUAUAAGCAAUUAUACCGCGAAACUGCGAAUGGCUCAUUAUAUAAGUUAUCGUUUAUUUGAUAGUACCUUACUACUUGGAUAACCGUGGUAAUUCUAGAGCUAAUACAUGCUAAAAAUCCCGACUUCGGAAGGGAUGUAUUUAUUAGAUUAAAAACCAAUGCCCUUCGGGGCUCACUGGUGAUUCAUGAUAACUCCUCGAAUCGCAUGGCCUUGUGCCGGCGAUGGUUCAUUCAAAUUUCUUCCCUAUCAACUUUCGAUGUUUGGGUAUUGGCCAAACAUGGUUGCAACGGGUAACGGGGAAU
rnacentral:rRNA from 2 species